UACCUCACUCACACUCACACUCACACUCACACUCACACUCACAGAGCCUCCUCUCCCUUCACGCUCUGAUUCACGGCCUCCCUCUCCCUCUCCUCCCUUUCACUGCCUCUCUCUGAAGGUGUUAUCGCUGCUUCCGCACCAACUGUUUCCCUCUCUGCUACAUUUUAGACUCUUUGGCUUGGCGGCGCAUCCGUGCUGUUCUUCCAAUGGUGCGAACCUUAAUCCCAACGCAGCUGGAUAUCCAUUAUGAAACGGUCCACUCAGCUUUCAACCUCGGAGGAAAAGAUACCCGCUAUCAUCGUUUUAGGAGCUACAUCUGUUUUGGAUACCAUGGCACAAGCCAGAUUGUCAGGAGGAGCGAAUAACUUUAUCCUUAUCCACCACCCUGACCCAGUAAGCAUUUAGCUCUCUAAGAGUUCGGUAAGGAGAAACGAAUCCGUGCUAGGGAUCAACUGCGGUUCUAUAAGACGCACGCAUACCGGCUUGAAGUUCGCCGCCACUAGAUUAUUAGAUGAUGAAGGGUUAUUUAUUUUUAAUUGUGAUGUUUAUUUCAGACGAUGUUAAUUACCUAAUGUUCGUUCUUCAAUUUUAUUUUGUAUUGUGUGUUAAGUUUGUAAAAUUGUGUUGUUAACUUUCAUCAAUCAUGAGCCAAAGGGCAUGCCACAUAUGUUCAAAACAAUGACAGCUCUCUAAGAGUUUGGUAAGGAGAAACGAAUACAUGCUAGGGAUCAACUGCGGUUCUAUAAGACGCAUGAGCCAGACAUGUAUCGGCUUGAAGUUCGCCGCCACUAGAUUAUUAGAUAAUGAAGGGUUAUUUUAUUUUUAAUUGUGAUGUUUAUUUCAGACGAUGUUAAUUACCUAAUGUUCUUCAAUUUUAUUUUGUUUUGUGUGUCAAGUUUGUAAGAUUGUGUUGUUAACUUUCAUCAAUCAUGAGCCAAAGGGCAUGUCACAUAUGUUCAAAACAAUGUCUGUAUUUUCAAAUUUGGAUUAUGACAUGUACCAAGGCUGCUUUUGUAUCACUCUAAAUGCAAGUCUAUUAUUUCUGUUUUUAUUAGCCAUAUUUUUUCUUGGACAUCAUUGGGGUUGUGCUAACUAAACAAUGUAGUUAUAAUAUGCUUGAUAUGUGACAUUUGAUAAAAGAGAUAGUUUCAAUA